rnacentral:lncRNA from 1 species
CAAAGACAGUGAGAGAUCAGAAAAUGGUUGCUGUUGUUUAAGCCACUAAAUUUAGAGAUGGUUUAUUAUGCAGUAAUAGUAACUGGAACAUCUGCUAACCCAUUAGGAUAAAUACAAAGAAGGCAACAUAUGGACACAUCAUAAUUAAACUGCCAAAAACCAAAGUCAAAGAGAAAAACAUAGAAGGAGCCAGAGAAAUUAACAUGCUACAUACAAGGAAUUACAAUUCAGAAAACUGAUGAUUUUAUCUCAGAAAAAAUGAAGACCAGAAGACAGGGGAAAAAUAUUUUUAGACUGUUGAAAACAAAACAAAAACUUUCAGCUCAGAAGUCUGAAUCCAUUGUGGUAUCAAAUGAUGACUUUGGAGAGAGAAAGAUCUGAUUAGAAUCCUAGUUCUAUGGCCCUAUUUCCAAUCCUACAAUGUGGCAUUAAUGCAAAAAAUAUUAUAUUAAUAUACAAAAUAUGACCCAUGCAAGAAUUUACACCUCUGAGCUCCGGUUUCCAUAUAUUUUGUUUACAAAGAAAAAGUCCUAUUGCAGCCAUUUGACAGUGCCAUUAUGACAUUCUGUAAACAGUAAACAUGAAAAUGCUUUGUAAACGGAACUAACACAAAGACUUAGUAGAAUCUGAAACAGACGUACUCUUGCUUUCCUUUGAGCACACAUGAAAGCUUUUUGAAGUAGCUCUGUGGACUUACACCAGAGAGAUGAAAAGCUGAAAUCCAGCUGCCGUUCAUUCCUGCUUUGAGAUUAGGAAAGGUAGAGCUGAAUUUGGGCUAUGUUACUCAGAAGCUUUUCCCCAGCUGAUGGAGGCCUGCCCUGGAGGUGCUCAGCUCCAUCUCUGCUGUCCAGGCUGUGAGCAAGAACACCUAAGGAAAGCCAGCAGCCUCCUUCACUCUCCCUCCCCAUCCAUUCAGGUACAGGCCACAAGUCUGCAGCAUCUCACUACAAAAUCAGCACAGAGGCAGUGAUCACACCACGAUGAAAAAAAAAAAAAUAGAUUAAAAAGAGAGGAAAAAAUCAGCUGCUAGAACAAAAGCCAAACAGAAAUGUGUUCCUUAAAUUAUUAGUAGUGUAUUAGAGGUGAUUUAGCACUCACAUGGCCAUUCCUACAACUGCAGAGACCCUGCAACAUAUCUUAUUCCCUUUGUAAUGCGGAUGGCACUGAGAUUGCUCUCAUCUUCUGGGCUUAUAAGCAAAUAUAUUUAAUUUGGAUGUAAUACAGCCAGGAGGGUGAUUUCUCCAGAUGGCGAUUUAAGCAACAGAUCAAGAGAUGAAUUAAGCACCUCAUUCCUUCAGAUUUUAGGAGAUCUGCAGGUGCCAGGGAUCCUGCCUCCAGCUUGGGUCCAGGGUAAAUUUCGGCCAAGAUGAAGCCUCUUAUUGGCUGCAUGAAUUCUAGCCUCCUUCAUUAACAUGAAGAGUGCCGUGCUCCCCGCUGUCUUAGGAGUUACAGAACAUUUAAAAGAUGAUUUGCGGACAGAUUAAGGACUUCAGAAGGAGAGAUGACACCAGACCUAGGUCUUGCAGAUGCAAACUCCUGUCAAGUGUGAGAGGAGGGGGAGUAUUAUCCACCAGUGGCAGAUAGGCUGGGCAUCUGGGCAGAAUGAUAAGAGCUGUGGCCCUGCAGCCAGUCCCUGCAUUUGCACCCUGAGUUUGCCAUGAGCUGUGUGACCUUAGUCAAGUUUCUCAACCUCUCUGUGCCUCAGCUUCCUUCUCUGAAAAAUGGGGAUCGUGUUUUGCACACAGCCCGACACACAGCAAAUAUUCAGUGACUGCUGCCGCUUUCUGCCAUGGCUAAAGGUGGUGUUGUGGUUUUCCUUCCAGGUUUUUAUGCUUUAAUUUCCUAACUGUUCCUGCAUUACUUCACAGUUGAUGACGUGUGGGGCCAAGCUCUUGGCACACGUGAGCACAGUGGAUAUUCAAGGAGCGUUAACUCGGGUCCAUUUUUCUUUCCAUCAAACACAGCCUCCUGGUAAAAGAGCCAUUCAGGAUGCCUGGAGGAGCCCAGAUUUCAAAUCUGAUGAAGUCUGCAGUUCUAUAAAUUCCCUCCCUCUUUUGUGCUGAUGGCAACGACUUUUAUAUGUAUUUUCAUGUCUUUCUCUCCAGAGAUAAAUUUUGUGGCCUGCCACUGAAUCUGCUUCCUAAAAUGUA